rnacentral:rRNA from 1 species
GACGAAGGGGGCUAGCGUUGUUCGGAAUUACUGGGCGUAAAGCGCACGUAGGCGGCCUUUCAAGUCGGAUGUGAAAGCCCCGGGCUUAACCCGGGAAUUGCAUUUGAUACUGUUGGGCUAGAGACCGGGAGAGGAUAGCGGAAUUCCCAGUGUAGAGGUGAAAUUCGUAGAUAUUGGGAAGAACACCAGUGGCGAAGGCGGCUAUCUGGACCGGUACUGACGCUGAGGUGCGAAAGCGUGGGGAGCAAACAGG